UACGUAGGGUGCAAGCGUUGUCCGGAAUUAUUGGGCGUAAAGAGCUCGUAGGCGGUUUGUUGCGUCGGCUGUGAAAUCCCGAGGCUCAACCUCGGGUCUGCAGUCGAUACGAGCAAACUAGAGUGUUGCAGGGGAGACUGGAAUUCCUGGUGUAGCGGUGAAAUGCGCAGAUAUCAGGAGGAACACCUGAGGUGAAGACGGGUUGCUGGGCCGACACUGACGCUGAGUGCGCGAAAGCCAGGGGAGCAAACGGG
rnacentral:rRNA from 1 species